CGAUGAAGCCCACUUGUGGGUGGAUUAGUGGCGAACGGGUGAGUAACACGUGAGUAACCUGCCCUUGACUCUGGGAUAAGCCUGGGAAACUGGGUCUAAUACCGGAUAUGACCUUCCAUCGCAUGGUGGUUGGUGGAAAGCUUUUGUGGUUUUGGAUGGACUCGCGGCCUAUCAGCUUGUUGGUGAGGUAAUGGCUUACCAAGGCGACGACGGGUAGCCGGCCUGAGAGGGUGACCGGCCACACUGGGACUGAGACACGGCCCAGACUCCUACGGGAGGCAGCAGUGGGGAAUAUUGCACAAUGGGCGCAAGCCUGAUGCAGCGACGCCGCGUGAGGGAUGACGGCCUUCGGGUUGUAAACCUCUUUCAGUAGGGAAGAAGCGUAAGUGACGGUACCUGCAGAAGAAGCGCCGGCUAACUACGUGCCAGCAGCCGCGGUAAUACGUAGGGCGCAAGCGUUAUCCGGAAUUAUUGGGCGUAAAGAGCUCGUAGGCGGUUUGUCGCGUCUGCCGUGAAAGUCCGGGGCUCAACUCCGGAUCUGCGGUGGGUACGGGCAGACUAGAGUGAUGUAGGGGAGACUGGAAUUCCUGGUGUAGCGGUGAAAUGCGCAGAUAUCAGGAGGAACACCGAUGGCGAAGGCAGGUCUCUGGGCAUUAACUGACGCUGAGGAGCGAAAGCAUGGGGAGCGAACAGGAUUAGAUACCCUGGUAGUCCAUGCCGUAAACGUUGGGCACUAGGUGUGGGGGACAUUCCACGUUUUCCGCGCCGUAGCUAACGCAUUAAGUGCCCCGCCUGGGGAGUAC
rnacentral:rRNA from 1 species